UGGGGGAUAUCGCACAAUGGGCGAAAGCCUGAUGCAGCGACGCCGCGUGGGGGAUGAAGGCUUUCGGGUUGUAAACCUCUUUCGCUAUCGAACAAGGCCCGCUUAGGGUGGGUUGAGGGUAGGUGGAGAAGAAGCGCCGGCUAACUACGUGCCAGCAGCCGCGGUAAUACGUAGGGCGCGAGCGUUGUCCGGAAUUAUUGGGCGUAAAGGGCUUGUAGGCGGCUUGUUGCGCCUGCUGUGAAAACGCGGGGCUUAACUUCGCGCGUGCAGUGGGUACGGGCAGGCUUGAGUGUGGUAGGGGUGACUGGAAUUCCAGGUGUAGCGGUGGAAUGCGCAGAUAUCUGGAGGAACACCGAUGGCGAAGGCAGGUCACUGGGCCAUUACUGACGCUGAGGAGCGAAAGCAUGGGUAGCGAACAGG
rnacentral:rRNA from 1 species